AGGGGAGUAGCUCAACGGUAGAGUCGCGGUCUCCAAAACCGUUGGUUGCAUGUUCGAAUCGUGUCUCCCCUGCCA
rnacentral:tRNA from 1 species